rnacentral:tRNA from 1 species
CGUUAUGCUUCGUUACGGUGUCGCACUAGUCUGGGAGACUAGGGGUCGGAGGUUCAAAUCCUCUCGCUCCGACCA